AUAUGCAUUUUCAUGUCAGAUGGCAUGUAAUGGAAUAUUGGUGGAAAGCUUCAGCCUCUACUGCGAUACCACCAACGUCUGCUUCUGAUGUUGUGUGCCAACGUGAUAAAUUAGGAGGCAUUACUUUUGAAGCACCCCUCAUAUGUAUAUGAACACAAAUACAAAUAGUACAUAAAACACGUUGCCAUGUUCACAUCUUUAUAUGCCAAAACCAACAAAAAAGAUGUUUGCUUUACUGCAGAGCCUUUAAGGAUGUAAGUUCUAAUGUAAAUUUGUACCUACAGGAUAAUAAAUUAACUUCUGUACUAAGGAGUUGGAUGGUGCGUUGCUUUAGUAUAAUUCAGAAAUAUUUUUGUACUUCAAAAAAGUCACUGAUAACUGUGCCUAUUUAGUGGGAAGAACCACCCAUUAUGUAUUGUUUUGUUAUCUUCAUUAUUUAAUAUUUCCAAACUUGAGCAUCAAUUUUUUUGUAUAUUGUUUACACUAGCGCCUGUAAAAUAUAUAUAUUUUACUGUAGUCAAAGUAUGAAACUACAGUUAAUUGCCAUUGCAUUUUUCUCUUUGCACUUCUAGUUUUUUAAGGAGCAUAUCUAACCCUAGACAUGUACGUGAUAAGACGGAGUGGAUUUGCUUCUGACGAACAUAGUGAUUCCAUACACGGAUUGUUUUGAAACAGGAAUUAAAGUGACUCUGAGAUGUCAUCUGGCUCAUAUUCUGCUAGG